rnacentral:rRNA from 1 species
AUGGACCCGGUCAAGCGGGCGGAACUUAGGGCGCGGCUUGAGGAGCUCAAGGCGGAGAUGAAGGAAAAAUCUCUCCCCGGCGCCAGGGUCACCAAUGGUGUCCCCUCCGACAUCCGCGCUUUUCUCGCGGAGGUGGCGAAGAAGCAAAGGGCGGCGCUGCGGGAGGCGUACAGCAACCGCGAACCACUCAUCCUCCGUCUCAACUCCCGGCAAGACCCGUGCGCAUCACCACCAGACCCGGUCAAGUCGGCGGAACUUAGGGCGCAGUUUAAGGAGAUGAAGGCGAAGCUGAAGGAACAAUCUCUCCCCGGCGCCAAGGUCACCAACGGUGUCCCCUCCAAGAUCCAGCCUUUUCUCGCGGAGGCGGUGAGGAAGAAAAGGGCGGCGCUGCGGGAGGCGUACAGCAACCGCGAACCACCCAUCCUCCGUCUCAACUCCCGGCGAGACCCGUGCGCAUCACCACCAGCUUUCUCUGAAGAUGGAGAGGGAAAGGAAGCAUAA